UAUACCCAAGAUCAAAGAGUAUACAAAAGCAGAUAAACAAGGUGUAUAUUUGCCGAAAUGCUCUCUUCUCACUUUAUUAUUUCCAUGUUAAUGGAACACUACCUUGGACCGCUAUGGUGCCCUGAUUAUUCUACAGGAGCUUUAAUUCCUUUCCGUACACUGGGUUCUUUUGCUCUUCGGCGCUUUUGUUCUUGUUCUUGUUUGCCUUCUCGCUCACCUGGUUCUUUGUUCUUCUGUUUUUUACAGGUCAUCAUGCUGCUGGAGAUCGCCGCCUUGGGUCGCCAUCGCUGUUUCUAUGAGUGCAACAUCUCGUUGUGUUAGUGGUUCUACGUUGCUGCUGCAGGCUAUUGCUGCGACUGUUUCUUUGGCGCAAACCAUUGUCACAGCUCAGGCGGAUGCAGCAGGCAAUAAGAAGAAUGUCUAAAUAAAAAGCAGGUAUGUUGAGGGUGACUUUGAUGCGUGAUGGGCGCUGGUGCUGCGGUCCACACCCAGAUCGAUCCGCUAAGGAACUGCCCCACAUCCAGAUCGAUGCCGCCAGCAAAAUCUGAAGAACAAGGGGUCAUCACAACACUGGCCUCCAUUCUUGCUUCAUUGAGUUGCCCAUCAAUGCUUAUUAGCGCAAUGCAGAGGCCUAAAAGACUAUUGAUAGGAUGACAAUAGGAGGACAAGAGAUGCCACAUUACCAAACCGGCCCUCCUCAGACUCUUAUUUGGCAAGGAUCUGCAGGUUCUCUCUGUCUAUUUUGUCUCUUAAAAGUACAUACCAUCAUUUCCUUACAUUUCCUUUUCUUGUGCUGUAGGCAAGAAUGAACGCCCUCCAGUUUAGUUGCUUACAAGGCCCAUCGGUAAUUAGCUUCGCCAAUAGUUCUCAUGUUUGUUUGAUACAUCGAGUAACUUGUUCACUGUGCCUUUCAAGUGUGCCCAAAGUAUUGAGGUAGUAUGUGGCUAGAAUUACUUGCACUCAAGUUUCAGGUAGGUGAUUUUGAUCCCAUGUUCUAGCUUCAACUUAGACUAAUAUAUUUGGCAGUUCAGCCUUGCAGACUGAUGCUUCAUAGGUUUUACCAAUUUAUUAUUCAUGUUUGUUUAUUUUGACACAUUUAACAGUAUCCUACACUUUCCUCACUCUCUAUCAAUGCAAAUCCUUAAUUAUUAUCAUGCCAUAUAUUUAUAGAAUUUGUUCGUUCUGGGUGAGGAAAGGAACACUUGGAUCCUGUUCUCUAUGUUUUUUGGCCAGAAAGUGUUGUGGUGCAUUUGGUACUUACAACCGCCGCAAACCAGUUAGAAAGGACUAGAUAUGCUGCUCCCUCGAAUGCUUCCUUACUGUAAUUAGUUUAAGUGUUGUGGUGUGUUUGGUACUGAUAAUCUGUAGGAUAAUGUGUUCAACAUACUUAAUCUUCGAGGUUGGAUGCACUAUUUGUUUGGAGACCCUACAAAUGUUAUUGUGAAAUUUUGUUACAUGAGAAAAUAUAGGAUUUCAUUGUUGGAAUCUGCAAAACAUAUUGUUCCUGAGCACCAAUUCUACUUUUCUUUAUCUCUGUCUAACCUAUUGAUUACUUUAGAUCUUACUUGACGAUACAUAUUUAGAUUUUGAGCACCAGAGAUUACUGAGCCUCUACCAUAUUUUACAUGUGGUUUGUGUCAGUAUUGUAAACAUCAGACUCUCAACUACAAUAUCUUUAUGCUUAUUUCGAUAUAUAUGGGGAGUAGUAUCUGAUGAAAUCUCAUAUUUCUUUUGUUUUGAUCUAAAUGUUAUUUUUAUCUGCCCUAAAAUCUCGGGAUUGCACUGAGAAAAUAUGCAGACGCAUGUCGUGUUUAAAUUUCCUAUGCUAUUUAAGUCAGUUUGCUGCCAGGAUAAUGUCAGCACUAGCAUUCAUGUCUAUAAAUUCUCCAGGGUCAUAAUUUGAAUAAUUAUGCAAGACACUUUGAGUAAAGGUUUUCUGUAGAUCUUUGCUCCUUGAAAGCUAGGACUUGGGGAACACAAAUGUUCUCGCUUCGAGACCUGAUCUGCAUAAUUCAUAAAUAGUUGUUAUGUCUAGGUUUAAAUUUUUGAAUAAUAUGUAAAUCAGUGACAUACUAGCAUCAGUCGUUCAUAGUUGCUAUGUCUAGGUGUUAAUUGUUUGAAUAAUAUGUAAAUAGUUGUGGGUGAUAACUGAAAGUUUACGAUGCUAUUGUUUGAGAAAUGAGAGAAGAAUAACAUGCAUAACUAUUCCUCAUCAGAAAGGACAAAUAUUACGUGGUAUUUUUUAGAUUCAAAACUUUGAGAUUAUAUGGUCCCUGAAGUAAUUUGUUGGAGUUUCCGUAAACCAUUGUCUUCCCAUCUCUUCCUAGCACAUCACUUUUCAUUCCUCUUGAAAUGUGUUGAUUACAUUGUACUUAUCUUUCUUUCUCUAUAGAGCAUGCUUGUCUUUCUUUCUCUAUAGAGCAUGUUUUACGUGCUACGGAGCUGACGGACAACGUGUUUGGCAAAGAUACAGUUGUUGAUCCAAAAUCAGUUGUUGAACCUCUGCCUUGGCCAAAUGAUAUUUUUUAUGUAUUUUCAACAUGUCUUAUAUAAUAUAUUUUUUUAUCUGUUCACCAUGUCUUGACAAAAGAUAUAAAUGCAGAUGUGGGAGACAAUAAACCCCUGGGACCAUACGAGUACAUGGCUCCAGCUUCACGUUAGUAUGGAUGUGGUGAUCGGCUUGGAUUUUCAAACAGAUCUGAGAUUAAAAAUGAUUGUUUGCAUUUUUACCCUUGCAGCUUUCUUUUGCUCUACGUGUGAAUAGAAUCCGUCGGAGCUACUUCCCUGAUGGCCAGAUUUACUUUUGAAUGCCCGUACUGCUUGCAGCGGAUGAUGUUCACAUGUUUGUCUAUCAGCCAUGGUGAACCUGGUCAGAUCAUGCGACACUUUUUAUGCAACGUUGUUGCCUACAUGACCAUGUUGUUAAACCUUGACUAAAUUUCAGUAAAAUGUACCCAGGAAUUCAAUCAGCUAUGUUAUAUAAUAUACUUAGCACAGUAUUGUGUUAGAUGAACAUGUACAUGUUUUUAUCUAUCUAUGCUGGAAUUUAUGCUACGACAUUAAACUUAUAUGCUCUCCGUCAGACGUAUUCACAAGACUGUCAUAUAGCCUAAAUCCAAAAUGCAGUUCUAUGUACAAUUCCAUCCUCAUUGAAAUUUAGGACAUCAUCACUAAUCUUAAUUAGUGUAGUAUGGAUUUUUAUCGUUUUUAUACAAAAUCUACAUUUGCACGGAUUUCACGGGAUCGUGCGCCAAGGCGCACAUAUAAA